CUUCGGGGGCGAUUAUGGGCGGCGAGCGGCGGACGGGUGAGUAAUGCCUGGGAAAUUGCCCUGAUGUGGGGGAUAACCAUUGGAAACGAUGGCUAAUACCGCAUAAUAGCUUCGGCUUAAAGAGGGGGACCUUCGGGCCUCUCGCGUCAGGAUAUGCCCAGGUGGGAUUAGCUAGUUGGUGAGGUAAGGGCUCACCAAGGCGACGAUCCCUAGCUGGUCUGAGAGGAUGAUCAGCCACACUGGAACUGAGACACGGUCCAGACUCCUACGGGAGGCAGCAGUGGGGAAUAUUGCACAAUGGGCGCAAGCCUGAUGCAGCCAUGCCGCGUGUAUGAAGAAGGCCUUCGGGUUGUAAAGUACUUUCAGCAGUGAGGAAGGCGGAUGUGUUAAUAGCGCAUUCGUUUGACGUUAGCUGCAGAAGAAGCACCGGCUAACUCCGUGCCAGCAGCCGCGGUAAUACGGAGGGUGCGAGCGUUAAUCGGAAUUACUGGGCGUAAAGCGCAUGCAGGUGGUCUGUUAAGUCAGAUGUGAAAGCCCGGGGCUUAACCUCGGAAUAGCAUUUGAAACUGGCAGGCUAGAGUACUGUAGAGGGGGGUAGA
rnacentral:rRNA from 1 species